GGUAAAGUGAUGAUUGCAGGUCCAUCUCUGGUGUGUACAUUUUUCUUGGGCCUAAUCUAGUCUCCUAAGUGGUACAAAAAGCAAACAGUUGUGACCACCUCUGCUGAAGCUGAGUAUCUUAGCCUUGCAUCAGCUACCUCCGAAAUCUUAUGGAUUCGAAGUUUUAAACACUACUUUGUGAAGCUUCAAGUUCCUACUACCACACCACUUCAACACUCUGAUAAGUGAUAACCUAAGCACAGUUGCCUUUUCUCACAACCCUGUAAUUCAUGCUUGCACAAACCACAUGGAAUUGGACCUUUUAAUUGUUCGUGAGAAAGAUUUAAACAAAUCUGCUAUGUUCAUAUUCAAGCUCACUUUCAGCUUGCAGAUGUUCUAACCAAGUUCAUACCGAUACACUCGUCUGUAUGAGUCAGUCCCAGCUGGCAACUGCUUGUUAGUUGCUAUUAGUCUGUUAGUGUUAGUUAGAACAAUUGCAUUUGUUCUUACUUCUUAGGCUUUGCUAUUAUAACAAAAAUGCACUUAUGAAAGAGUGGACAAAAGAUUACAAAGUUCUUAGUCCUUUUGUUUGAAAAGAAUCUUACUAGUCCUGGUGCCUGCAUUGCCAUCUGUUGAACACGUCCAUUUCUCACUUCUUCUG